rnacentral:tRNA from 2 species
GGAGAGGUGUCCGAGCGGCUGAAGGAGCACGACUGGAAAUCGUGUGUGGGGCCUAAGAACUUCACCGAGGGUUCAAAUCCCUCCCUCUCCGCCA